UACGGAGGAUGCGAGCGUUAUCCGGAUUUAUUGGGUUUAAAGGGUGCGUAGGCGGCGAUGCAAGUCAGCGGUAAAAGCCCGGGGCUCAACCCCGGCGAGCCGUUGAAACUGCAGUGCUAGAGAAGGCGAGAGGUACGCGGAAUGCGCAGUGUAGCGGUGAAAUGCUUAGAUAUUGCGCAGAACUCCGAUUGCGAAGGCGGCGUACUGGCGCCUGACUGACGCUGAGGCACGAAAGCGUGGGGAUCGAACAGG
rnacentral:misc_RNA from 1 species